rnacentral:rRNA from 1 species
UGGGGAAUAUUGCACAAUGGGCGCAAGCCUGAUGCAGCAACGCCGCGUGAGGGACGACGGCCUUCGGGUUGUAAACCUCUUUUAGUAGGGAAGAAGCGAAAGUGACGGUACCUGCAGAAAAAGCACCGGCUAACUACGUGCCAGCAGCCGCGGUAAUACGUAGGGUGCGAGCGUUGUCCGGAAUUAUUGGGCGUAAAGAGCUUGUAGGCGGUCUGUCGCGUCUGCUGUGAAAACCCGAGGCUCAACCUCGGGCCUGCAGUGGGUACGGGCAGACUAGAGUGCGGUAGGGGAGAAUGGAAUUCCUGGUGUAGCGGUGGAAUGCGCAGAUAUCAGGAGGAACACCGAUGGCGAAGGCAGUUCUCUGGGCCGUAACUGACGCUGAGGAGCGAAAGCGUGGGGAGCGAACAGGAUUAGAUACCCUGGUAGUCCACGCCGUAAACGUUGGGCGCUAGAUGUGGGGACCAUUCCACGGUUUCCGUGUC